GAUGAAGAACGCAGCGAAAUGCGAUAAGUAGUGUGAAUUGCAGAAUUCAGUGAAUCAUCGAAUCUUUGAACGCACAUUGCGCCCCUUGGUAUUCCAUGGGUCAUGCCUGUUCGAGCGUCAUUUGUACCUUCAAGCUUUGCUUGGUGUUGGGUGUUUGUCACGCCUCCGCGUGUAGACUCGCCUCAAAACAAUUGGCAGCCGGCGUAUUGAUUUCGGAGCGCAGUACAUCUCGCGCUUUGCACUCACAACGACGACGUCCAAAAGUACAUUUUUACACUCUUGACCUCGGAUCAGGUAGGGAUACCCGCUGAACUUAAGCAUAUCAAUAAGCGGAGGA
rnacentral:misc_RNA from 1 species